rnacentral:lncRNA from 1 species
UUGUCGUCGAGCCCCCCUAUGAGCAACGAGGAGGUUUUCUUUUUCUUUUUUUUCUCCUCUCUACUGUUGUCUUUAGGUUAGCUAUGCUACACUCUUUACUGUAACGCAGCGCUAGCUAUAUGCGCCGCGCGCGGCUCCACUCUGGAUAUCCGGACAUUAUCAACUUCCAGCCGCUCGCUCCUCGCUCCCGCAGCCCGCACACAGACUCCAGUAGAGAUUACCCAGAGUGCCGCUGGCUUAAGGAUCGACCAGGAAGAGCUGAAAGAAGGCGAGGCUGGGAAAACGAAGGGCAGUGUUUGGAUGAGGAGGUGAACCCUCAGGAGGAGCCAGAACCCGCAAAGAGCCUCCCGGUAGAGGAAGAGCAAUUGAGCGCCUCUGCUGUCUGUGAUGCCCUCCCAUGACGCCCAGGUUAGUAGCUGACACUGCCAGUGAGCGGGAGACGCCACUGCACAACCGGUCGUGGGCCUGCGCCAUCAGCCGGUUCUCGCCCUCCCUCUCACACGCUGGAGACUCCAACUCCAACCACCUACCAGUGUCCACACGCAUUAACGACGAUCCACCCCUGUAAGUUUCUCUCCGAAACCGACACGCUGACGUCCACGGCCACCAGCAGCAGUUGCCAAAACCUGCAACAUCAUCGAAGCAAUCCGCAACACCAGCAGCAU